AGUGAACGCUGGCGGUAGGCCUAACACAUGCAAGUCGAACGGCAGCACAGUAAGAGCUUGCUCUUACGGGUGUCGAGUGGCGGACGGGUGAGGAAUACAUCGGAAUCUACUUUUUCGUGGGGGAUAACGUCGGGAAACUUACGCUAAUACCGCAUACGACCUACGGGUGAAAGCAGGGGAUCUUCGGACCUUGCGCGAUUGAAUGAGCCGAUGUCGGAUUAGCUAGUUGGCGGGGUAAAGGCCCACCAAGGCGACGAUCCGUAGCUGGUCUGAGAGGAUGAUCAGCCACACUGGAACUGAGACACGGUCCAGACUCCUACGGGAGGCAGCAGUGGGGAAUAUUGGACAAGGGGCGCAAGCCUGAUCCAGCCAUACCGCGUGGGUGAAGAAGGCCUUCGGGUUGUAAAGCCCUUUUGUUGGGAAAGAAAAGCAGCAGGUUAAUACCCCGCUGUUCUGACGGUACCCAAAGAAUAAGCACCGGCUAACUUCGUG
rnacentral:rRNA from 1 species